AGUCGAGCGGUAGAGAGAAGCUUGCUUCUCUUGAGAGCGGCGGACGGGUGAGUAAUGCCUAGGAAUCUGCCUGGUAGUGGGGGAUAACGUUCGGAAACGGACGCUAAUACCGCAUACGUCCUACGGGAGAAAGCAGGGGACCUUCGGGCCUUGCGCUAUCAGAUGAGCCUAGGUCGGAUUAGCUAGUUGGUGAGGUAAUGGCUCACCAAGGCGACGAUCCGUAACUGGUCUGAGAGGAUGAUCAGUCACACUGGAACUGAGACACGGUCCAGACUCCUACGGGAGGCAGCAGUGGGGAAUAUUGGACAAUGGGCGAAAGCCUGAUCCAGCCAUGCCGCGUGUGUGAAGAAGGUCUUCGGAUUGUAAAGCACUUUAAGUUGGGAGGAAGGGUUGUARAUUAAUACUCUGCARUUUUGACGUUACCGACAGAAUAAGCACCGGCUAACUCUGUGCCAGCAGCCGCGGUAAUACAGAGGGUGCAAGCGUUAAUCGGAAUUACUGGGCGUAAAGCGCGCGUAGGUGGUUUGUUAAGUUGGAUGUGAAAUCCCCGGGCUCAACCUGGGAACUGCAUUCAAAACUGACUGACUAGAGUAUGGUAGAGGGUGGUGGAAUUUCCUGUGUAGCGGUGAAAUGCGUAGAUAUAGGAAG
rnacentral:rRNA from 1 species